rnacentral:rRNA from 1 species
CACUCCUGCGGGAGGCAGCAGUGGGGAAUUUUGGACAAUGGGCGAAAGCCUGAUCCAGCAAUGCCGCGUGUGUGAAGAAGGCCUUCGGGUUGUAAAGCACUUUUGUCCGGAAAGAAAUCCUUGGCUCUAAUACAGUCGGGGGAUGACGGUACCGGAAGAAUAAGCACCGGCUAACUACGUGCCAGCAGCCGCGGUAAUACGUAGGGUGCGAGCGUUAAUCGGAAUUACUGGGCGUAAAGCGUGCGCAGGCGGUUUGCUAAGACCGAUGUGAAAUCCCCGGGCUCAACCUGGGAACUGCAUUGGUGACUGGCAGGCUAGAGUAUGGCAGAGGGGGGUAGAAUUCCACGUGUAGCAGUGAAAUGCGUAGAGAUGUGGAGGAAUACCGAUGGCGAAGGCAGCCCCCUGGGCCAAUACUGACGCUCAUGCACGAAAGCGUGGGGAGCAAACAGGAUUAGAAACCCUGGUAGUCCCAUG